rnacentral:lncRNA from 1 species
AAGGAAGAAAAGACUUUCUUCCUUCUCUGUGCCGACUGUGCGACUUUCUUCUCUGUUCGAAGCCUAGCAAAAAAAUUCACUUUACCAAUCUACACCCUCACUCCGUUCGUCGCCGACGCCGUUGCUCGCCGCAUCUGUGAGACUCCAUCGCCAUCGCCAUCGCCAUCGCCAUCGCCUUAACAAGUCCCAAGUCCCAAGUCCCAAAUCGAAGCUGCUCUCUGCCUCUCCGGCCUCCGCCAGUCCGCCGCGCUGUACGUCUCCUGUCGGCUGUGUCCUGCCGUGCUGGUUCAUCGCUGCCGAGUGUCGAAGACGAAGCACCAAGAUCUCACUGGUUCAUCGCUGGUUCAUCACUGCUCAUCUCUGGAGCACUUAGGUAAGUGCUCCUCUGUUUUUGGCUCUGUGUCUCUGGCAUUAAAAUGGGCCAAGAUCGACUAGGAAACUUGUUAUCCUGAAUUGAUAAGGGGACGAAAUCUGAGCUUCCAAAUGCAAACUCUAACUGUUGUAGUAGUUUAGAUUAGGUGUGAUAUAACAUAAGCUUUGUAUUUUAUACACAAGAAGCUCUCUCCAGUUGUGCAGCCUUUAAAAGUUAAGGCCUUGGGGUUGAGGCUAUGUAUAGACAUUUGUAAUCUUGUAGAAAGUGGGGUUGAGGCUAUGUGUUGGUGUUCCACUUCGGGUGUUUUGUUUACGGAGUCUUGAAGGUCUUAACUUGCUUGUUUGAUGCUAGAGUUUGCACCCUUGCGACUUCUGAAAGAUUUACAUUUCUGGGACCACACAUGUAUUAGCUUUAAGUACAAUGUGAUUUCUGUGCUAUUUAGUCAAUUUUUAUAAUUUCAUGGCUGAAAGGAAUAAAUUUGCUUAUUUUAUGUGUUCCUGGGUAGUUAAAACCUUUAUUUGAAGUUUUUGUAGUAGAAGCUACAUUCCAUCAGAUAGUUGUUAG